AUUGAACGCUGGCGGCAGGCCUAACACAUGCAAGUCGAGCGAGCGGCGGACGGGUGAGUAAUGUCUGGGGAACUGCCCGAUAGAGGGGGAUAACUACUGGAAACGGUAGCUAAUACCGCAUACUAUCGGAUGUACCCAUCUGGGCUUAGCUAGUGGGUGGGGUAAAGGCUCACCUAGGCGACGAGCCCUAGCUGGUCUGAGAGGAUGAUCAGCCACACUGGAACUGAGCCACGGUCCAGACUCCUACGGGAGGCAGCAGUGGGGAAUAUUGCACCAUGGGCGCAAGCCGGAUGCAGCCAUGCCGCGUGUAUGAAGAAGGCCUUAGGGUUGUAAAGUACUUUCAGCGGGGAGGCGUUACCCGCAGAAGAAGCACCGGCUAACUCCGUGCCAGCAGCCGCGGUAAUAC
rnacentral:rRNA from 1 species